rnacentral:tRNA from 1 species
AUAAAAAUAUUAAGUGUUAAUGUGAAAUUGUUAAUUUCAUGUAAUUUACUUAGA